UGACUGAAUAAUAAUAUUAUUGCCCAAAGGAAAGGCAAACCAACAAACACUAAACCACAGUGCCCCAUGUCUCCCUUUUGAGACAAAGACGUGUGAAUAAACUAACCCACUUUCAUUGCUUUGGUCCCUCUUCUUGUGCAUAGAAUCACACAUCCAUUUUAUGUGGGGUCAAAACCUUUUUCUUCCCACCCUCUCCAUCUUCUCCUCACAAUGAUACUCAUUUUGAUGAGUAAAUUACUCAUUAAAACAUGUCUUUAUCUAUCCACUCAUAGGAAUAGUAAAUUAUGGAUUUGAAAAUCAUCAAGGGCAGGUUCAAAUUAAUCCAUGGGUCACGUACACACUACGCACCUGUUCUCCA
rnacentral:lncRNA from 1 species